UUAUGGAUUAAUCAUGUGGUAAUAAAAAUUCUAGUUCUCCCAAAUUAAGGUACAAAAUUAAUGUAAUAUUUAAAACCUCAUUAGGCCCAAAACAUUAAUUGAUUAAUUGGUAAGAUCCAUACGUUUUUAAAUUACAUGUGUUUAUGGACCAGGUCCAAUAUAAUUUAAAUUGAUUUGCCCAAAAGGCCAGAUAAUUGAGUCCAAUUACACAACAGUUUUUUUUCCGGGAAGUAACAAAAAAAACGUACCUAAAGUCAACAACUUUUGGCCAUUCGUUUGUCGGUGUAAAGAUAAAAAACCAAACCAUCUUCGUCUCUCUCUGCUCUUGUUCCAUGGAAUCGAUCCGCAAGAUUUUACUAAUCUGACGACUCAAUUCGUUGAGAUUGAUUGCCACAGAUCAUUUCCAUCCUCAUCCAUGAGAUUUCCUAAGUCGAUAUCUGUAAGAUUCAAGAUGAGUCAUGACAAACGAAAAGGCUAUUUCGUAUCCGCAAAAUCUAAAUCAAUAUCAUAUUUUGGAACAGAAGCAAAAUUCAUCAAGACAAUGGCGAAACAGUUUUUGGACAGGUAACAAUAAAGUGUUCUUAAAAGGACAUAAGAAGAGUUGUAGAAAUCUGCAUUAGCUUAUACAAAAGAUAAGUGGACAGCAAAUAUUUAUAUACUCACGUUUUAUCAGUAAGUCUCUGAAAAGACUUGUAUUUCUUAUACAUUAGCUAAUUAACCACUUUUAUAUAUGUUUCAGCCAGCUUCUUACAAAUCCCUUUCAGAGAGAGUUCUGUCAUAUAUGGAUGUAUUGAAGAAACACUUCCAAAGAGAGAAUUUCAGAUAACAAAGGAUUUGAUGCAGUUACUUGGGCUUGGAACCUUGAUGCAAAGUUCGACCGAAUAUCAUUCAGCAGUCUUGGAAAAACAGUACUCAAAGGCCUCUAUAUGAUGUUAACAUGAUGUAGGAAAUGCGCAGUGAUAACAGGAACUUUGAUCUACCAUGAAUUUAAAGGAGGACUCGCUGACAGUGGAAUUGCCUAAGAUGGACAUCUUGAAUCUAUGACUCGUUUCUCUGUACUUCCCGGUAGCUGGGUGAAGAGAGAAAUUCUCGAGCAACCUCCAUUCACCAAUCUUAAAUUUCCUAACACGAGCAAAGAAGAGCCUCUUGCAGGUACAAUGUAUCUUGAAUCCCUACAAAAAAAUAAUAAUCAUACAUUGGUUUAGUCAAUGGCAAAAAAACGUAAAGAACAAAAACGGUUUAACAGAAAUAGACAUACCAUCUUAUCUGCGAGUAUGAACUCGAGAGAGUCUCCACCGGAAUAGUUUGAGUGUUGUGUCCACGAAUGAAGCACUUUGACUUCAACUUUCCAAGUAGUCUUAAAUGGUUUGACAUUGUUCAACAUAGUGAUCGCGUUGUUUCUAACCAUAGCCAUAUUAGUUUCUUUUUAUCGUGAGGUGUGGAGAAAUGUUGUGGUAGAAGAUUAUUUAUAGUGUUUCGGGUGAAAAUGCUAGGUUUAAUGACGAUGGAAUGGCAUAUUCGGAGUUCCAUAUAUUAUGGGAUUGUUAGAAUAUUUUGCUUUUCAUUUUUUUAAAAACUAUAUUGUUACGAAUACUGUUAGAAUUUUAAUGAACAUACUGUUAGAAUAUUCGGACUAAUGAUUGUAUUAAGAAAAUAUCGAAACUAAAUUAAGUUGUGAGAUAUUCUUUAGUUUGGAAGGAACGUUAUUGUAGAUUUGAUCAAAUCUAUUGUUAAUAUGUUAGAAUAUUCUAGACGAUUAGAUAUACAUUAACGCUUUUAACGGGGGAUAAGGGAUACAUAACCGAGUAUUAUUUUAAUUUAUAUUGGAAUCGUCAAUUCCGGUUAUUUGCUUGAACCAAAGCUGGUCUGUUUUAAAUAUUUCGGUUGAAAUAAUUUAAGUAGCGUGUAUCCAAUAUUAUUGUAACAAUCUAGAAAGGGUCCAAAACUAAAUGACAACUUUCAACAGUAGAUAAAAAUAGGACUCUAAAUUAAUAGAGUAGAUUUUUAAAAAAAAAGUUCCAGUAGGGUUAUUAUUUGUAUUAAAUGCUAAUGUUAUAAUUUAUCAAUUUAAAUAUCAAAUUAUUCAUAACUGACAGCGCAGAAGUUUUAGUACAUGCCUAGAUAUCUCGUGAAUGGGUUUUUAUUCAAAUUGGGGAUAUAAAAAUGGGAUUACUAAUUCAAUACUCCUAUGACCUAUCAUACGUUACCUUUGACGUGUACGCCGACCAUACACUCGUUGACGUUUAGUGCUACCUACCCGGGUUUAUUUAAGAGACAGGUCGAUUGAACAUAUAUUUUUCUUAAAUUGGGCUAGAGGUAAUCAAAAAUCCAUCACAUUUUGUCCGUUUGUCAAAAUAUAGUUAACUUUUAUUUUUCACCAAUUAAAACAAUUAUCAUCUUCUUUUCAAAAUUUUUUUUAUCAUCUUCCGAUAUAAAAUAAGGGAAAAUUCCUCAAAAAUACACGGACUAAUAUUUAUUUG